rnacentral:rRNA from 1 species
UACGAAGGGGGCUAGCGUUGCUCGGAAUCACUGGGCGUAAAGGGUGCGUAGGCGGGUCUUUAAGUCAGGGGUGAAAUCCUGGAGCUCAACUCCAGAACUGCCUUUGAUACUGAGGAUCUUGAGUUCGGGAGAGGUGAGUGGAACUGCGAGUGUAGAGGUGAAAUUCGUAGAUAUUUGCAAGAACACCAGUGGCGAAGGCGGCUCACUGGCCCGAUACUGACGCUGAGGCCCGAAAGCGUGGGGAGCAAGCAGG